rnacentral:misc_RNA from 1 species
UUUCCGUAGGUGAACCUGCGGAAGGAUCAUUAUCGUAUAACCGAGGUGCGAGGGCUGUCGCUGACCCGAAAGGUCGUGCACGCCCGAGUGCACGCACACACAUCCAUCUCACCCCUAUGUGCACCACCGCGUGGGUCCCCCUUUGGCUUGUUCGGAGGGGGGCUUACGUUUUCACACAAACUUUGUAUGCAGUGUAGAAUGUAUUUUUUGUUUUUGCGAUCACGCAAUCAAUACAACUUUCAACAACGGAUCUCUUGGCUCUC